GAUGAACGCUGGCGGCGUGCCUAAUACAUGCAAGUCGAGCGAACAGACGAGGAGCUUGCUCCUCUGACGUUAGCGGCGGACGGGUGAGUAACACGUGUAUAACCUACCUAUAAGACUGGGAUAACUUCGGGAAACCGGAGCUAAUACCGGAUAAUAUCUUGAACCGCAUUGUUCAUUAGUGAAAGUCGGUUUUGCUGUCACUUAUAGAUGGAUCCGCGCCGCAUGAGCUAGUUGGUAAGGUCACGGCUUACCAAGGCAACGAUGCGUAGCCGACCUGAGAGGGUGAUCGGCCGCACGGGAAGGUAGACGCGGUCCAGACUACUACGGGAGGGCGCAGUCGGGAAUCGUACGCAGUGGGCGGGAGCCUGGCGGAACGACGGCGCGUGAGUGGUGAAGGUGUUCGGAGCGGAAAACCGUGUUAUUAGGGAAGAACCAAUGUGUAAGUAGCCAAGGCCGUAGUGACGGUACCUGAUAAGAAAGCCACGGCUAACUACGUG
rnacentral:rRNA from 1 species